UGAUGACAAAUUCUCCGGAAUCUCUGCAUUUCUGUGAUGAUUCCCUUGAACCCUUUCUUCUGAUGGCUGUCAGAGCUGGUCAGC